CCAGCAACAUUUAAGACCGGUGCCUGUUAAGGACAUGUGCUACCAAAACAGACCCUUUGAAUCUUCAUGGCCUU